GACGAACGCUGGCGGCGUGCUUAACACAUGCUAGUCGAACGGUAAGGCCCUUCGGGGUACACGAGUGGCGAACGGGUGAGUAACACGUGGGUGAUCUGCCCUGCACUUCGGGAUAAGCCUGGGAAACUGGGUCUAAUACCGGAUAGGACCCUGGGAUGCAUGUCCUGGGGUGGAAAGCUUUUGCGGUGUGAGAUGGGCCCGCGGCCUAUCAGCUUGUUGGUGGGGUGAUGGCCUACCAAGGCGACGACGGGUAGCCGGCCUGAGAGGGUGACCGGCCACACUGGGACUGAGAUACGGCCCAGACUCCUACGGGAGGCAGCAGUGGGGAAUAUUGCACAAUGGGCGCAAGCCUGAUGCAGCGACGCCGCGUGAGGGAUGACGGCCUUCGGGUUGUAAACCUCUUUCAGCACCGACGAAGCGCAAGUGACGGUAGGUGCAGAAGAAGGACCGGCCAACUACGUGCCAGCAGCCGCAGUAA
rnacentral:rRNA from 1 species